AUUUAUUAUGGAAUUUUUUCGAUUAUCUCACUGUUGUGAUACGACUUGUAGCAAAAGGUUGACAUUACAAAUUUUUCAGAGCCAAGGAUAUAUAUCUAAUAGGAUCAUGAGAUUAGAAAUUCAAGACAUUUGCAUUGAAGUUCAAAAUGAUUAUACCCCUAUAUAUGGGAUAGAAUCGUCUACUACUCCAGCCACUCCAUACUUCUACGGCGACAACCCGGAGGUAGUAAACCUAUACUACCAUAGAGAUACGCUACUCCAAUUCUAUGUUGGUGGCGAUUGUCAAAAGAAAAUAAUGGGCCGAGUACUCCGGCCAAACGGUACAGAAACGGUAGAGUUUCCUAUCGAAGGGGAAACUGUCGGUAGACACACCCGUGCGCUUGUCAAAGUGUGGCUAAAACUACCAUAUGACCCUCAGGCAGCAGGAAGUAAAAAAGAAUGGCACUUGAUCAUUCGGUAUUUACAAAAUGGCGCUCCAUUCACUAGCAGAAGAAUUGUCAAGAUGUAAAAGGUAGCGGCUGGUCCUUAUUGACUGUUGGAAGAUAACUUCUAUGGGUGAUUUUUUCAUCACGACGCCCACUCCACUCAGCAUGGGAUAUACUGAAUAGUUUGCAUCAUGUAUAAAGUUUAGAAAUCACGAACUGUGUAGUACAGCUGCAAGUUUUCCGAAAGUAAUCUUUAUCGUGCUGUAUAUUAGUAGAUGAUUAUGAUCAUUAGUUUAAUUUGCGAGGGGGGGGGGGUGGGAAUAAUUUACAUAUCAGUUAUUCAGUUUUUGUACUAAAACAGUAUACAUCAAAUUUUAACAGUACUUUUUACCAAUAAAUUGCAAAAAAAGUUUAUGAAAGAAGUGAGUAAUUACAUUACUUUAAAAGAUAAAAAUGCUUACACCGCGUGUGCCUUUAAUGAUUAUAGUUUGAACGUAUGGUAUUCGUGCUUGUGAUGAUAGUACCCUUCUGCAAAAAUAUAUGUACAUCAUUUUAAUGAAUUUUUGUACAACGAGUUAUUUUCUAACGUUUUGGCAUUUAUUAUUAAAUUGUCGAUUAACAGAAUUCUUCAGACAGUUUGAUGAAAGCGAUGUAUACUAAUAAUAUGGAAGUUAUUACGAUGGAACAAUAAAACAAACCAUAUGGAUGCAUUCGUCACAAGCGAAACAGUUUGAAUCUGUAGAAUGAGGAUAUCAGGCAUUGCUUAAAGGACAAGUCCAACCUACCAAAAAGUUUAUUUGAAUCAAAUUGAAAAAAAUUCUGCUGAGCAUGACAUUGACAAAAUUCAUCGAAUAGGAUGUAAAAUAAGAAAAAUAUGAAAUUUAAAAGUUUUGCCGAUAUAAAACGGUUAUAUUUUCUGGUCGUAAUAGGAAUGAGGGGACUGAUAUCAUCACCCACUCAAGUAUUUUUUUUGUAUUUUCAUGUCAAAUGAUAAUAAUAAUAAUGAUGAUGAUGAUAAUUAUAAUGAUAGUAGUAACCAGCAAUCCAUAGUGAACUAUAUCACAGCGUUGAAUUUUCCCCUCAUUUUCAUGUUAAACAAAUUUCAUUCCUCCCUGAACAUAGGAAAUUACCAUUGUCUAACAUUUUGUGUUCAGUCAAGUUGAUCCUUAUUGUCAAAUCUGAAAAUUCAAUCAAUGAAAAUCAAAAGAAAUAGUGGAUGAGAGAAAGACCAUCCUCUGCAAUUUUCGACAUAUAGCAGUCACACAUACCCCUCCAUAUUAUACCCUGGGAGAUAUUUUUCCUUUGAAAUGUUUAAAAUAAUGAUAAUGAUUCAUUUUUUUUAUAAUGCAUAGACUACUUUAAAAAGUAAUUGCCACGUAAUUCUUAUGUAUAUGUCAUACGUAUGUAACUUUCAUUUAAAGACUGUGUAUUCAAGAAUUUAUCUGUAAUCAAUUAUCUUUACUGAAUGGUUAAACGGCAAAACGAUAAAAACUG